rnacentral:rRNA from 1 species
UAUUCGGGAUGUUCAGCGGCGCAAGGGUGCGUAACACGUGGGUAAUUUGCCAUGAAGUUUGGAAUAACUUGCUGAAAGGCGAGCUAAUGCCGAAUGUGACUUUCGGGGGGCAUCUCCUGAAAUUCAAAGUUGGGGACCGUAAGGCCUGACGCUUCUUGAUAAGCCCGCGGUCUAUCAGCUAGUUGGUGAGGUAACGGCUCACCAAGGCUAAGACGGAUAGCUGGUCUGAGAGGACGACCAGCCACACUGGAACUGAGACACGGUCCAGACACCUACGGGUGGCAGCAGUCGAGAAUUUUUCACAAUGGGCGAAAGCCUGAUGGAGCGACGCCGCGUGGGGGAUGAAUGGCUUCGGCCCGUAAACCCCUGUCAUUUGCGAAAACCUUACCGGUUAACAACCGGUGAGCUGAUUGUAGCGAAAGAGGAAGGGACGGCUAACUCUGUGCCAGCAGCCGCGGUAAUACAGAGGUCCCAAGCGUUGUUCGGAUUCACUGGGC